CGCAGUGUCACCUAAUGGUUAAGGUACUCGGCUCAUAACCGAGGAUAUGCGGGUUCAAAUCCCGCCACUGCCA
rnacentral:tRNA from 1 species